CGUAGGGACCAAGCGUUGUUCGGAUUUACUGGGCGUAAAGGGCGCGUAGGCGGCGAAUCAAGUCAGUUGUGAAAUCUCCGAGCUUAACUCGGAACGGUCAACUGAUACUGUUUUGCUAGAGUGCAGAAAGGGCAACCGGAAUUCUUGGUGUAGCGGUGAAAUGCGUAGAUAUCAAGAGGAACACCUGAGGCGAAGGCGGGUUGCUAGGCUGACACUGACGCUGAAGCGCGAAAGCUAGGGUAGCAAACGGGAUUAGAUACCCCGGUAGUCCUAGCCCUAAACGAUGUAUGCUUGGUGUCUGGAGUUUUUAUCUCUGGGUGCCGUCGCUAACGCUUUUAGCAUACCGCCUGGGGAGUACGCACGCAAGUGUG
rnacentral:rRNA from 1 species